rnacentral:rRNA from 1 species
GACGAACGCUGGCGGCGUGCUUAACACAUGCAAGUCGAACGGAAAGGCCCUGCUUUUGUGGGGUGCUCGAGUGGCGAACGGGUGAGUAACACGUGAGUAACCUGCCCUUGACUUUGGGAUAACUUCAGGAAACUGGGGCUAAUACCGGAUAGGAGCUCCUGCUGCAUGGUGGGGGUUGGAAAGUUUCGGCGGUUGGGGAUGGACUCGCGGCUUAUCAGCUUGUUGGUGGGGUAGUGGCUUACCAAGGCUUUGACGGGUAGCCGGCCUGAGAGGGUGACCGGCCACAUUGGGACUGAGAUACGGCCCAGACUCCUACGGGAGGCAGCAGUGGGGAAUAUUGCACAAUGGGCGGAAGCCUGAUGCAGCAACGCCGCGUGCGGGAGGACGGCCUUCGGGUUGUAAACCGCUUUCGCCUGUGACGAAGCGUGAGUGACGGGAAUGGGUAAAGAAGCACCGGCUAACUACGG